rnacentral:rRNA from 1 species
AGUGAACGCUGGCGGUAGGCCUAACACAUGCAAGUCGAACGGCAGCACAGUAAGAGCUUGCUCUUACGGGUGGCGAGUGGCGGACGGGUGAGGAAUACAUCGGAAUCUACUUUUUCGUGGGGGAUAACGUAGGGAAACUUACGCUAAUACCGCAUACGACCUACGGGUGAAAGCAGGGGAUCUUCGGACCUUGCGCGAUUGAAUGAGCCGAUGUCGGAUUAGCUAGUUGGCGGGGUAAAGGCCCACCAAGGCGACGAUCCGUAGCUGGUCUGAGAGGAUGAUCAGCGACACGGGAAGUGAGGCGCGGUCCAGACUCGUACGGGAGGCAGCAGUGGGGAAUAUGGGGCAAUGGGGGGAAGCCUGAUGCAGCGAGACCGCGGGGGUGGAGAAGGCCUUCGGGUGGUGAAGGGGCGUUGUUGGGAAAGAAAAGCAGCAGGUGAAGAGGGCGCGGUUGUGACGGUACCGAAAGAAUAAGCACCGGCUAACUUCGUG